rnacentral:lncRNA from 1 species
ACAGCUGAGCCGGGCGGGCCUGCAGCUCAAGAGGCAGGAGAUGGAGGCUGGUGGCCAAGGGGACACAGGAACUGCCCCCGGCCCCAUUCGGGGCUGGCACCUCCCAGGGCAGCCUGGCCCAGGCUCUGCAGAUGAAAGGAGAAACCAAGGCCCAGAGAGGGCAAGGCAGUUGCCAGAGAUCACACAGCAGGUCCGGGGCGCGGACCUAGAAUUCUGGUCUUAUCAUCCAGUGCUCUCAGCAUCACUCUGACUGAUGGGCAGGGGGGGACAAAUCACCUCAAAUUGUAACCUAAGCCCCCCAAGCCCCCAAAUCCUAACCUGGACCCUAAGGCCAGUGUGUUGGAUGAAGGGAGAAAUAAAUGGAAGGCAACUUGGGAAGGAAGCAACUUUGAGGGGUUACUGGGCUGUCCCCUGUGGUCGAUCCUAUAAUCAUAGUAACUGCUUCUAGUGUUUCUUGAGCAUCUAUUAUGUACAGGGCAUUACCAUAAGUGCCUUCCAU